rnacentral:rRNA from 1 species
GAUGAACGCUGUCUACAGGCUUAACACAUGCAAGUCGAGGGGAAACGACGGGGAAGCUUGCUUCCCCGGGCGUCGACCGGCGCACGGGUGAGUAACGCGUAUCCAACCUGCCUCUGACUGAGGGAUAACCCGUCGAAAGUCGGCCUAAUACCUCAUGGCAUCGUCUGCGGGCAUCCAACGACGAUUAAAGAUUUCAUCGGUCAGGGAUGGGGAUGCGUCUGAUUAGCUUGUUGGCGGGGUAACGGCCCACCAAGGCUACGAUCAGUAGGGGUUCUGAGAGGAAGGUCCCCCACAUUGGAACUGAGACACGGUCCAAACUCCUACGGGAGGCAGCAGUGAGGAAUAUUGGUCAAUGGGCGGGAGCCUGAACCAGCCAAGUAGCGUGCAGGAUGACGGCCCUAGGGGUUGUAAACUGCUUUUAUGCGGGGAUAAAGUGAGGGACGUGUCCUUCAUUGCAGGUACCGCAUGAAUAAGGACCGGCUAAUUCCGUG